UAACCACUCAAGCCUAGCUUGGUCUUGGGGUUCGCGGUCUCGCGGCCCUUAAAAUCAGUGGUGGUGCCACCUGGCUCUAAGCGUAGUAAUUCUCUCGCUACAGGGUCUAGGUAGUUACUUGCCAUAAUCCCCCUCUCUUAC
rnacentral:misc_RNA from 2 species